AGCAGCCGCGGGCGAGGCGCGCGAGGGAGGAGUCGGCACGAGGACACGCAGGCCCUGCGCGCUGAGCAGGGGCGCCCGCGAAGGAAGGGACAGGGGCGCCCCUCGUCCCGCUCCUGGAUGCGGAUCCCGCGGGCCCGCCUCUGCCCGGGGACACUCACAGGCGAAGCCCCAGUCUCCCGCGCGGCUCUUCCACUUCCCGAGGCUGAGAGGGAAGCCAGAGCUAUCAUGUCAUGAGGAACUCAAGCAGCCCUGUGGAAAGGCUCACAUGAUGAGGAACUGAGGCCUCCUGCCAACAGCCAUAUGAGUGAGCCAUAUUGGAAGUGGAUCCUGCAGCCCCAGUAAAGCCUUCAGGUGACUGUAGCUUGGGUGAUGCUGACUGAAACCUCAUGAGAGAUCCUGAGCAGAAUCACCCAGAUAAGCCACUCUCAGAUGACCCACAGAGACUAUGAGAUGAUAAAUGUUUAUUGUUUUAAUAUGUAACAGAAAGGCUGGAGAUUCAGUUUAACCCCUCCUCCAAGGAAGAAGAAGAAAUACCAGAAAUAGAUUGCCUGAGGACAGGCAGUUGCCUUCUUGGACGGGGAGGAGAUAAAUGAGAAGAUCUCUGGCCCUUGAGACCAUCUACCCUGUCACCAACCUGUGAGCCAAAACCUACGCUUAGUCAAGUUCAUUGUUUUCAUAUCUUUGUUUUUGUCUUUGCUUAUUGCUUAAAUUAAACAUUCCUAUGGAUUUCUCUAACCACGUCUGGCUGAAAUGAGAGGGAAUAACGAGGUCCCAGCUGGGACGGUAAUUUGAGAACUACGCACGCCAGUCUUGGAAUCUGGAGGUGGUGGCUGGGCUGAGGGAGCUUGAAGGUGAGGGUGGAACUUGUAGAACCUGGUUCAGCUUCUAAUUUUGCCAUCCAUUCACUAUGAUCUCUAGCAGUGUACUAUUGCUGAGCUUAUUUUCUUGUGUGUUAACAGUGGAAAAUAAUAGUUGUCCUACCUAUUGCAUAGGGACACUGUAAGAAUGCAAUGAGAUUCUGUAUGUGAAAGCGUCCCCUUACCUACUUCACUAGUGGGAACUAUUAAAGACCAUGCCAUCUGAACCAAAUUGCAAAGCAAGGGUACAGACAAAUGCUGGUCAUGAAAUAUCUUCCACUUGUGCCUGUCCCUUCUAAGGACUGCUACACUCCAUCCUUGGUUUAUUAAUAACAUGUUUUGGCUCACUUAGACCUCUAGGUCACCACCACAUACGUUUCACUGUUAAAAUUCCUUUAUUUCUCUCAUAGGCUCUGUUUGUGUCCAUAGCACCUAACAUCGUGCUCAGAGCAGGAACCCUGUAAAUACACGUGGAUUAAUAGAUGAAAAUAUUCUGCUUAUAGAGAGCUCAUCCAUGACUUUAAAUUCCCCUCUAACAAACAUUUCUAUUUCUUUAAGCUGGUGUGUAAAGUCAUUUGUAAGAAAUUCUUAUUGGUGAGGUCAAUGUGUCUCAUAAUGAUUAGAGAUUAUUGAUACACUAGUAGUCAGUUUGUGUUUAUACUAGACUUAUUUCAAAGAACAUUAUAACGUUUAUGAAUUAAGCUGGGACAGAGAAGCAACUGCAGACAAAGUGACUCUUUUGUGGCCUCUGACAACUGGUGGCUUUAAACAAUGAAGGCCAUUGUAUAAGAACUCCCUCCCGGGUUAUUGUGAGGAUUAAUUAGAUUAAAAUCUACAAAAUGCUUUGACUUUUUCCCAGAAUUCUUUUAUAAAUAAAGAUGGUUUUAAUUUUUUUAAAAGUAUCUUUAUAUUGUCCUCCUAGAAUCAAAUGAAACAAGUUCACCUACUGUUUAACUCUCUGUAUUCCCUGAAGCAAAAAGCCAGACUAAGCCAACCUAAAUUACCUUUAAUGGUUUUAAGCGGGCUACCAGUGCACACAUGACUGAGCAGAAUUUAGUACGCUAAUCACAAAGAUCUUGGUGUAUGAUUUACAUGACACAAUAAUGCCUUGUAAUCACUAUGCUACAUGGUCAUUAGAUAUUAGUUACUGUAAUUAUUACAGCUGUUUUAUACUGAGCAACAAAGUUUUACUGUCCUCUUUGUUAUUUAUAUUUUAAUAACUCACAUUCUGCUCAUUUACAAAUAGGGUUUCAGGCAGCCUUCCCUUAUAGUAGUUCCUCCCUAUCUUCAAACAUUGCAAAUGUUGAAAAUUUUCCCUGAUACCGGGUACUGUUCGAUCCUCAUUGUUUACACAGAAACACAGACACCAGAUAAAAGACAGGAGUCCUAGAUCCAAUUCUCCAACAGUUGAGGUUCCUUGGGAACCCCUUUAACUCAGUUUCUUGGUCUCCUUUGUCCCCAGUGACCCACCUGGCCCAUGCAGUCCC